AAAUUUUAAAAAACCUCCUUGUGGUUUCACUUUUUCUCACUUUAGUACCCUGUGGUUUAAAAAGUAUCAAGUUAGUACCCUGUGGUUUCGUACUUUCUCACUUUAGUAUCUUGUGGUUUAAAGUAUAUCAAGUUAGUACUCUGUGGUUUCGUACUUUCUCACUUUAGUACUCUGUGGUUUAAUAUUUCAUUUGGAGAAAAAUAAAACCACAGGAUACUAAUUUGAUACAAAAAUAAAAACACAGGAUAUUAACUUGAUACAAAAAUAAAAUCACAGAGUACUAACUUGAUACACUUGAAACCACAGGAUAUUAAAGUGAGAAAGUGCGAAACCACAUGGUACUAAUUUGAUACACUUUAAACAACAGAGUAGUAAAGUGAAAAAGUACGAA
rnacentral:lncRNA from 1 species